AGAACGAACGCUGGCGGCAGGCUUAACACAUGCAAGUCGAACGCUCGUAGCAAUACGGGAGUGGCAGACGGGUGAGUAACACGUGGGAACAUCCCCCUCGGUUCGGAAUAACUCAGGGAAACUUGAGCUAAAUACCGGAUACGUCCGAGAGGAGAAAGAUUUAUCGCCGAGGGAUCGGCCCGCGUCUGAUUAGCUAGUUGGUGAGGUAACGGCCCACCAAGGCGACGAUCAGUAGCUGGUCUGAGAGGAUGACCAGCCACACUGGGACUGAGACACGGCCCAGACUCCUACGGGAGGCAGCAGUGGGGAAUCUUGGACAAUGGGCGCAAGCCUGAUCCAGCCAUGCCGCGUGAGUGAUGAAGGCCUUAGGGUUGUAAAGCUCUUUCGACGGGGACGAUAAUGACGGUACCCGUAGAAGAAGCCCCGGCUAACUUCGUGCCAGCAGCCGC
rnacentral:rRNA from 1 species